AGGUAAAAAGAGGAGUUGCUGGACCGUCACCACAGAAUACAAUUUAUCGAAAUGAAUUCAAUGAGGGAAAACGAAGUUAUUUUGGAAAUGCACCUCUUGCUGAAAGAAACUUGGAUGGAUUAGACGAGAUGAAAAGAAGUGUAAUUGGAAACCCACCCCUUCCUUUUAGGAGAAUCUUGGAUGAACCAAACGAGGGAAAAACCGGAAAGUAACCCGUUGUUGAAAAGGCAGAUAACCAUUGACGGUUUUAGUUGGCCAUGGGGAAGAUGAAUUCAUCCACUGACAGAGAUAUUACUGUACAACAAAUAAA